GUUGCCUCCCCCCGUGGGACAAGCUCCGACGACGGCUACUUACUUUCUCUUGAAGUCCGACGCGAUGUCCAGAUUGGCAGCCUCCACCCCGAAGAAGGAGACGGAGCCCAGUUAACGAGCGAGGAAAAGCGCAGACCUGAUAGCGAAGAUAAUCCACUGAAGUCCGGCUGUGCGCACACUGGAUCCUUGCUUGACGGUAGCAGCAAGCCUGCCUCUUGAGCAGCGAGCGAAGGGACUCUUCAGGCAAGGUAAGACUUGCGGCAGAGGAGUGCGGCGUACCUUUAGCGAGAAUUGGGAGCAACUUGGAUAAAGUAAAUGCCAGCCAACGUUAAGCACUUUACUCUUUUUAAAAAAUGCAUUUGCAUUCUGAUACUUCAAUAUAUCUUGUACAUAUGAAGCUGCAUAAUACUGAGUCAGCCUGUGAAGGCUGUAAUCCUGUACCAAUUUUCCUGGAAGCAAGUUCCAUUGAGCCCAGUGGGACUUAACUUCUGGCUAGACCUGCAUAGUAUCGGUGUGGGGUGUUGUUUCUUUCAUGUAAGUAUAUGUACCGGUAUGCUUUUGUGUUACAGUACAGUGGUACCUCGGGUUAAGUACUUAAUUCGUUUCGGAGGUCCGUUCUUAACCUGAAACUGUUCUUAACC